rnacentral:rRNA from 1 species
GUUGCGGGUGCCUCCA